GAUGAACGCUGACAGAAUGCUUAACACAUGCAAGUCUACUUGAAUUUGGGUUUUUUAACUUAGAUUUGGGUGGCGGACGGGUGAGUAACGCGUAAAGAACUUGCCUCACAGCUAGGGACAACAUUUGGAAACGAAUGCUAAUACCUGAUAUUAUGAUUAUAAGGCAUCUUAGAAUUAUGAAAGCUAUAUGCGCUGUGAGAGAGCUUUGCGUCCCAUUAGCUAGUUGGAGAGGUAACGGCUCACCAAGGCGAUGAUGGGUAGCCGGCCUGAGAGGGUGAACGGCCACAAGGGGACUGAGACACGGCCCUUACUCCUACGGGAGGCAGCAGUGGGGAAUAUUGGACAAUGGACCAAGAGUCUGAUCCAGCAAUUCUGUGUGCACGAUGACGUUUUUCGGAAUGUAAAGUGCUUCCAGUUGGGAAGAAAAAAAUGACGGUACCAACAGAGGAAGUGACGGCUAAAUACGUG
rnacentral:rRNA from 1 species